UCCGUCUAUCCACUGACCAACCUAUGUAUUUUCUUCUAUCAUUCAGUUCCAUGUAGCUGCUCACAGAAUCUGAUCAGCAGACCAAUAAGCUUGUUACACAGGCCAAUCUCUCCUGCGCUGUGAUACACCCCGAUGGUAUACUCCUGAUGCACGCUGGUUAAUCUUUCCGGUCAGAGCAGAGUUUUCUAAAAGAAAAGGAACAUAUGCCCUUGGGAAAGAACACCUGGGGGAUAUUCCAAAAUAAAGAUGCAGUUCUGCAGCAG